GCGCACGGGUGCGUAACACGUGGGUAAUCUGCCCUUCGAAGGGGAAUAACUCGCCGAAAGGCGAGCUAAUUCCGAAUAACAUUCCGAGAACCUUGGUUUUUGGA
rnacentral:rRNA from 1 species